AUUGAACGCUGGCGGCAGGCUUAACACAUGCAAGUCGAGCGGGGGAAGGUAGCUUGCUACUGGACCUAGCGGCGGACGGGUGGGUAAUGCUUAGGAAUCUGCCUAUUAGUGGGGGACAACAUCUCGAAAGGGAUGCUAAUACCGCAUACGUCCUACGGGAGAAAGCAGGGGAUCUUCGGACCUUGCGCUAAUAGAUGAGCCUAAGUCGGAUUAGCUAGUUGGUGGGGUAAAGGCCUACCAGGGCGACGAUCUGUAGCGGGUCUGAGAGGAUGAGCGGCCACACUGGGACUGAAACACGGCCCAGACUCCUACGGGAGGCAGCAGUGGGGAAUAUUGGACAAUGGGGGGAACCCUGAUCCAGCCAUGUCGCGUGUGUGAAGAAGGCCUUAUGGUUGUAAAGCACUUUAAGCGAGGAGGAGGCUACUUUAGUUAAUACCUAGAGAUAGUGGACGUUACUCGCAGAAUAAGCACCGGCUAACUCUGUGCCAGCCGCCGCUGUAA
rnacentral:rRNA from 1 species